UCUUUCUAGUUUGAUCUCUCUUACUUCCUGUAAAGUCCUUCCUUCUCCAUACUUUUCUGACAACUUUGGCAGAAGGCUACAUAGGUAGACCAUUGGAGGUAGCUGGAUCGCUCAUCUUACCGCCAUCUUCAUGCUCUAGGAUAAUUAGAACAUCAAAUCUGGAUCUAUUCAAUGGGUUAGGUCCUUGAUUUGGGUGAACCGAUUUGUUACCUAUUGGUUGCUUUAAGAUUCACACAUGAGCUGGUCGUUAGAAUUUCAUCCAUUCUCCAUAAAUUUCUUUCGGUGAAGAUUUGGGUGGAUCUACAGUUGUAUCAUGUGAUUUUGAGGCAAAGAAGAUGAAGUUUAGAUUGGUAAUAGAAUUGGAAGACAUGUACGCGUGCUCUCUAGAAGGCAGAGAAGUUCUGAAGCUGUUUUGCCUAUAAUGAUUGUAUUUCUUUAUUUUGUCAUUAUAAUUGACGAACAAUUUUGAUUUAUAAAGUUUGAUUUAAUAAUUUUAAAA